UACGUAGGGGCCAAGCGUUGUCCGGAUUUAUUGGGCGUAAAGAGCUCGUAGGCGGUGUGUCACGUCGGCCGUGAAAACCUGCAGCUUAACUGUGGGCGUGCGGUCGAUACGGGCAUCACUGGAGUUCGGCAGGGGAGACUGGAAUUCCUGGUGUAGCGGUGAAAUGCGCAGAUAUCAGGAGGAACACCGGUGACGAAGGCGGGUCUCUGGGCCGAUACUGACGCUGAGGAGCGAAAGCGUGGGGAGCAAACAGG
rnacentral:rRNA from 1 species